rnacentral:sRNA from 1 species
GCUCUACCAUCUGAGCUACAUCCCCUUUUGAUAUCUUA